rnacentral:lncRNA from 1 species
AUGAUGAAUGGUGGCAAGCCAGGCAGGUUACACCAGAUGGUGAGAGCGAUGAGGUCGGAGUGAUUCCCAGUAAACGCAGAGUUGAGAAGAAAGAACGAGCCCGAUUAAAAACAGUGAAAUUCAAUUCUAAAACGAGAGAUAAAGGGCAGUCAUUCAAUGACAAGCGUAAAAAGAACCUCUUUUCCCGAAAAUUCCCCUUCUACAAGAACAAGGACCAGAGUGAGCAGGAAACAAGUGAUGCUGACCGUAAAGCAUGUAACUUCUAAUGCCAGCGAUAGUGAAAGUAGUUACCGUGGUCAAGAAGAAUACGUCUUAUCUUAUGAACCAGUGAAUCAACAAGAAGUUAAUUAUACUCGACCAGUGAUCAUAUUGGGACCUAUGAAAGACAGGAUAAAUGAUGACUUGAUCUCAGAAUUUCCUGACAAAUUUGGAUCCUGUGUUCCU